GCACAACGCGAAGAACCUUACCUACUCUUGACAUCUAGCGAAGAUUGCAGAGAUGCAGUUGUGCCUUCGGGAACGCUAAGACAGGUGCUGCAUGGCUGUCGUCAGCUCGUGUUGUGAAAUGUUGGGUUAAGUCCCGCAACGAGCGCAACCCUUAUCCUUAGUUGCCAGCACGUAAUGGUGGGAACUCUAGGGAGACUGCCGGUGAUAAACCGGAGGAAGGUGGGGACGACGUCAAGUCAUCAUGGCCCUUACGAGUAGGGCUACACACGUGCUACAAUGGUACGUACAGAGGGAGGCAAGCUGGCGACAGUGAGCGGAUCUCUUAAAGCGUAUCGUAGUCCGGAUCGCAGUCUGCAACUCGACUGCGUGAAGUCGGAAUCGCUAGUAAUCGCAAAUCAGAAUGUUGCGGUGAAUACGUUCCCGGGUCUUGUACACACCG
rnacentral:rRNA from 1 species